rnacentral:rRNA from 1 species
CACGUAAGGAGCGAGCGUUGUUCGGAAUUAUUGGGCGUAAAGGGCAUGUAGGCGGUUUUGUAAGUCUGGUGUGAAAUACUACAGCUUAACUGUAGAGACGCACUGGAAACUGUGAGACUAGAAUCAGUGAGGGGUAACCGGAAUUCCUAGUGUAGGGGUGAAAUCUGUUGAUAUUAGGAAGAACACCGAUGGCGAAGGCAGGUUACUGGCGCAUGAUUGACGCUGAUGUG